GACGAACGCUGGCGGCGUGCCUAAUACAUGCAAGUGGGACGCAAGAGAACACACUGUGGCUUGCACACCGUGUUUUCUUGAGUCGCGAACGGGUGAGUAACGCGUAGGUAACCUGCCUAUUAGCGGGGGAUAACUAUUGGAAACGAUAGCUAAUACCGCAUAAUAUUAAUUAUUGCAUGAUAAUUGAUUGAAAGAUGCAAGCGCAUUAUCUAGUAGAUGGACCUGCGUUGUAUUAGGCUAGUUGGUAAGGUAAGAGCUUACCAAGGCGACGAUACAUAGCCGACCUGAGAGGGUGAUCGGCCACACUGGGACUGAGACAUGGCCCAGACUCCUACGGGAGGCAGCAGUAGGGAAUCUUCGGCAAUGGACGAAAGGCUGACCGAGCAACGCCGCGUGAGUGAAGAAGGUUUUCAGAUCGUAAAGCU
rnacentral:rRNA from 1 species